rnacentral:rRNA from 1 species
CCUACGGGGGGCAGCAGUGGGGAAUAUUGGACAAUGGGGGCAACCCUGAUCCAGCCAUGCCGCGUGUGUGAAGAAGGCCCUCGGGUUGUAAAGCACUUUCAGUGAGGAAGAACGCCUGGUGGUUAAUACCCAUCAGGAAAGACAUCACUCACAGAAGAAGCACCGGCUAACUCCGUGCCAGCAGCCGCGGUAAUACGGAGGGUGCGAGCGUUAAUCGGAAUUACUGGGCGUAAAGCGCGCGUAGGUGGCUUGAUAGCCGGUUGUGAAAGCCCCGGGCUCAACCUGGGAACGGCAUCCGGAACUGUCAAGCUAGAGUGCAGGAGAGGAAGGUAGAAUUCCCGGUGUAGCGGUGAAAUGCGUAGAGAUCGGGAGGAAUACCAGUGGCGAAGGCGGCCUUCUGGACUGACACUGACACUGAGGUGCGAAAGCGUGGGUAGCAAACAGGAUUAGAUACCCUGGUAGUC